rnacentral:rRNA from 1 species
AGAGUUUGAUCCUGGCUCAGAACGAACGCUAGCGGCAUGCUUAACACAUGCAAGUCGAACGAGAAGCCGACCUUCGGGUUGGUAGAGAGUGGCAAACGGGUGAGUAACGCGUGGAUAACGUGCCCAUGGGUUGGGGAUAACCCGCCGAAAGGCGAGCUAAUACCGAAUGUGUUCGCGAAAAUUUCGGUUUUCGUGAAAAAAGGGACUUGUGCCCGCCCAUGGAUCGGUCCGCGUUCCAUCAGCUUGUUGGUGGGGUAACGGCCUACCAAGGCAACAACGGAUAGCCGGCCUGAGAGGGCGAUCGGCCACACUGGGACUGAGAUACGGCCCAGACUCCUACGGGAGGCAGCAGUGGGGAAUAUUGGACAAUGGGCGAAAGCCUGAUCCAGCAAUGCCGCGUGAGUGAUGAAGGCCCUCGGGUUGUAAAGCUCUGUCAGGGGGGACGAACAAGCAGCGUAACCCGCUGCCCUGACGGUACCCCCAAAGGAAGCACCGGCUAACUCCGUGCCAGCAGCCGCGGUAAUACGGAGGGUGCAAGCGUUGUUCGGAAUCACUGGGCUUAAAGCGCGUGUAGGCGGAAUAUCAGGUGUCUUGUGAAAGCCCCGGGCUCAACCCGGGAAUUGCUGGGCAAACCGGUAUUCUUGAGGCAAGUAGAGGUGAGUGGAACAACUGGUGGAGCGGUGAAAUGCGUAGAUAUCAGUUGGAACGCCGGAGGCGAAAGCGGCUCACUGGGCUUGUCCUGACGCUGAGACGCGAAAGCGUGGGUAGCAAACAGGAUUAGAUACCCUGGUAGUCCACGCCGUAAACGAUGCGCACUAGGUAUGAGAGGUUCUGACGCCGAUCGUGCCGAAGCAAAAGUGGUAAGUGCGCCGCCUGGGGAGUACGGCCGCAAGGCUAAAACUCAAAGGAAUUGACGGGGGCUCACACAAGCGGUGGAGCA